rnacentral:rRNA from 1 species
AUUGAACGCUGGCGGCAGGCUUAACACAUGCAAGUCGAACGAUGAUUAUCUAGCUUGCUAGAUAUGAUUAGUGGCGGACGGGUGAGUAACAUUUAGGAAUCUGCCUAGUAGUGGGGGAUAGCUCGGGGAAACUCGAAUUAAUACCGCAUACGACCUACGGGUGAAAGGGGGCGCAAGCUCUUGCUAUUAGAUGAGCCUAAAUCAGAUUAGCUAGUUGGUGGGGUAAAGGCCCACCAAGGCGACGAUCUGUAACUGGUCUGAGAGGAUGAUCAGUCACACCGGAACUGAGACACGGUCCGGACUCCUACGGGAGGCAGCAGUGGGGAAUAUUGGACAAUGGGGGCAACCCUGAUCCAGCCAUGCCGCGUGUGUGAAGAAGGCCUUUUGGUUGUAAAGCACUUUAAGCAGGGAGGAGAGGCUAAUGGUUAAUACCCAUUAGAUUAGACGUUACCUGCAGAAUAAGCACCGGCUAACUCUGUGCCAGCAGCCGCGGUAAUACAGAGGGUGCGAGCGUUAAUCGGAAUUACUGGGCGUAAAGCGAGUGUAGGUGGCUCAUUAAGUCACAUGUGAAAUCCCCGGGCUUAACCUGGGAACUGCAUGUGAUACUGGUGGUGCUAGAAUAUGUGAGAGGGAAGUAGAAUUCCAGGUGUAGCGGUGAAAUGCGUAGAGAUCUGGAGGAAUACCGAUGGCGAAGGCAGCUUCCUGGCAUAAUAUUGACACUGAGAUUCGAAAGCGUGGGUAGCAAACAGGAUUAGAUACCCUGGUAGUCCACGCCGUAAACGAUGUCUACUAGCCGUUGGGGUCCUUGAGACUUUAGUGGCGCAGUUAACGCGAUAAGUAGACCGCCUGGGGAGUACGGCCGCAAGGUUAAAACUCAAAUGAAUUGACGGGGGCCCGCACAAGCGGUGGAGCAUGUGGUUUAAUUCGAUGCAACGCGAAGAACCUUACCUGGUCUUGACAUAGUGAGAAUCCUGCAGAGAUGCGGGAGUGCCUUCGGGAAUUCACAUACAGGUGCUGCAUGGCUGUCGUCAGCUCGUGUCGUGAGAUGUUGGGUUAAGUCCCGCAACGAGCGCAACCCUUUUCCUUAUUUGCCAGCGGGUUAAGCCGGGAACUUUAAGGAUACUGCCAGUGACAAACUGGAGGAAGGCGGGGACGACGUCAAGUCAUCAUGGCCCUUACGACCAGGGCUACACACGUGCUACAAUGGUAGGUACAGAGGGUUGCUACACAGCGAUGUGAUGCUAAUCUCAAAAAGCCUAUCGUAGUCCGGAUUGGAGUCUGCAACUCGACUCCAUGAAGUCGGAAUCGCUAGUAAUCGCAGAUCAGAAUGCUGCGGUGAAAAAGUUCCCGGGCCU